GGAUAUUUAGCUCAGCAGGUUAGAGCAGUGAACUCAUAAUUCACAGGUCUGGAGUUCGACUCUCCAAAUAUCCACCA
rnacentral:tRNA from 2 species